rnacentral:sRNA from 1 species
GCUAUGACACACAUUUUUCGCUUCGUUCGGGAAGGAGCAACCUAAUAAUAUUUUGAUGGAUGGACAAGAGACAGCGAUGACCAAAAGUAUUCACCAGGAGACCAGAAAAUGGGAAGAGGUUGGAUUGCAUUCCUUUGUACUAUCUUUAUCCUAGUGAUGACUGCGUUGUUUUAUCACCAAUGUAUUUGUAUUUCAAUAUAAGAACCUCAAAGAUGUUAAUGAGAGUAGCAGACUUGAAGGAAAUGGUUAAAGAGGAUUGGCUAACAUUGGGACCAAUCAAAUUAUUUAUAGACAUUUGUGAACAAAAAGAAAAUCUGAAUCUAUCAUCUU